rnacentral:tRNA from 1 species
CACUAGAAAGCUGUUCCGGUUUAUAAAGCAUUAGCCUUUUAAGCUAAAGACGGUGACUACCACCCACCUCUAGUGA